UACGGGGGGGGCAAGCGUUGUCCGGAUUUACUGGGCGUAAAGGGCGCGUAGGCGGCGCCGCAAGUCGACUGUGAAAUCUCCGGGCUUAACCCGGAAAGGUCAGCCGAUACUGCGGGGCUAGAGUGCAGAAGGGGCAACUGGAAUUCUCGGCGUAGCGGUGAAAUGCGUAGAUAUCGAGAGGAACACCUGCGGCGAAGGCGGGUUGCUGGGCUGACACUGACGCUGAUGCGCGAAAGCUAGGGGAGCGAACGGG
rnacentral:rRNA from 1 species